rnacentral:rRNA from 1 species
GAUGAACGCUGGCGGCGUGCUUAACACAUGCAAGUCGAACGGAAAGGCCCAAGCUUGCUUGGGUACUCGAGUGGCGAACGGGUGAGUAACACGUGGGUGAUCUGCCCUGCACUUCGGGAUAAGCCUGGGAAACUGGGUCUAAUACCGGAUAGGACGAUGGUUUGGAUGCCAUUGUGGAAAGUUUUUUCGGUGUGGGAUGAGCUCGCGGCCUAUCGGCUUGUUGGUGGGGUAAUGGCCUACCAAGGCGUCGACGGGUAGCCGGCCUGAGAGGGUGUACGGCCACAUUGGGACUGAGAUACGGCCCAGACUCCUACGGGAGGCAGCAGUGGGGAAUAUUGCACAAUGGGCGCAAGCCUGAUGCAGCGACGCCGCGUGGGGGAUGACGGCCUUCGGGUUGUAAACUCCUUUCGCUAGGGACGAAGCGUUUUUGUGACGGUACCUGGAGAAGAAGCACCGGCUAACUACGUG